rnacentral:lncRNA from 1 species
CUGGUGUGCAAGGAACAGUACAUCUGCUGCUGCUGUGCACUGCCACUUCACUAAAAGUGUCUGUCUAACAGCACUGGCUCACCCUGGAAUUAUUUCCUGGACAAAGCCAAGAACCCUCCCGGGCUAAGCCCCAAUUUGGGGGCUUGCCUACCCUACAUCAAAAGAAGGAGAAACCUUUGGGAGCAGAGUGGGUAAGUCUGUGCAGCUCUGGGACGGGUACAGGGACUUCAAAUGCAUUUUCUC